CGUCCUAACCCUAGUCUUAGCUCCAUCGUACAUGUCCUUGAUUACUCUGAUGUAGGCAUAGUAAAAAGACCAUAGCAUUAAAAAUUAAUUUCAAAUCCUCCUGAAGGAAUAUACCUGAUUACACGCACUGAACACAUGGCUUUGUCAAAUGAAAUUUUCAUGCUCAACAUCUAUUCACCGGACACAAAUUUUAAAAACAAUCAAGUACUUAAUUAACUGGGCAACUUCACAUAUGAACCUUACCUAAUUGUCGCAUGCAUUCAUCAUUCUGUUAUGAAUAGUCAAAAUGGUGAUCGCUGGAAAAUAUUAAGUGACAAUAUUAAUAAACAUGGAAGCUAGGACAAUAAGUGAGAUACUGAAGGCUAAGCAAAUCCACAGUAGUUAAUUCAUACUUCAAAACGUGACUUCCACACUUCAUAAUAGCAAGAGGAAACGUUUAAAGACAUAAUAGUAGCUUUCACAACCAAGAAGAGAUGAAUCAAGCGUGAUUUUCAGCAAGAUUACAAAGGAUUUUGAAUGAACUAGAUCAUCAAUAGAUGAAAAGUUCCCCAGAAUAUUUCCAUUGCUUCUUUCACGCUCAGACCAUUAAAUUCAAAACCAAAACAAGUCACUCACGUAUUGACCUUCAAAUUUCAGCACGUAAAACCGACCCAACUGUGAACAAAUUGGGCGCUAUCACCAAGUAGAAUGGAAAAUUCAAGAACAAGACAUUAUGUAUUUGAUCUCAUUUGAACCUAAAAGCACACAGGUUUUUAUUUAGUUAUCACAAAUCAAAUAAAACAAACUAACAUGAAACUUUAACAAAUAGCAAAGUCUUUAAACUAAUCACAAAUCUAUAAAGCAAUUAGAUAACUACAAAAAUAGUGUGUAACCAUCACACAAUUCAAUAAUACACCCUCACAUCUUCCCUCGAACUAGCUUCUAUCAACCUUCAAUUGAAACUAAAAUUCUCCAUUCCACAGGCUCCUAUCAUAUUCCAAUUUACCAUUACUUUAGAAUAAAGGAAAUUUAAAGAGAAAGAGAUAAACCUGAAUGUGAAAAGAAAACUUUCAAUUAAUUCUAUUUUUGGAAGUAAAUACACUUUGAGGCAGCAGCCGAAGCUUGAAAAAAAGAAAGGAAAUACCAAACAAAUUACAACAACACGAACUGAGAGAGAUUCUAGACCUCGAUAGCGACGAACUCGAACACUUUCAAGCUCGAUUGAAUCCAUGCAUACUCAUUUUCGGUACUCAAUAUAGAACCAAGAACCAAGAACUUUGUGGUCUCACAUCAACUCGUAAGAAUAUAGAGAAGCCAAAUGCUAAAUCUUUGUCGCUGCCAUUAAAUUAUUUACCCAAGGCUAUGCAUGAGCUAGAGGAUGUAUAUUGGAGAAGCGAUAUGGAAGCCUUUGUUGGAGCCUUGACGGACUGCCUUGUGAAUCACUGAAGGGGUUAGGGUUCGAAGGUUGGAGGAUUGAAGAUGAUCGAAGAGGGAACGGAGAGGGUCCCUUGUGUGUUUGGUGAGAUGCUAGGUUUCAGGCGUGAUUUCAAAAGGGUCAAAAAAAGAGAGAGAUCAGACGUUCCAAAAUCUGAUGGGGUGUCUUCUUUUUGUGUUAAGCGGCUAGGGACGCCUAUUAGGGAUCUAGGGUUCAUUUAGAAUAAGCAGGGUUGGGAUUAUUGGGUGUUGGGUUGGGUCGACCCAGUUUGGGUUAGGUUGGGUGAAAAUUUGGGCUUCUAAAAUGUUUGGCCAAUUAAUUUAAAAUUAGCCUUUUUUAAUUUCCUU
rnacentral:lncRNA from 1 species